AUACGGAGGGUCCAAGCGUUAUCCGGAUUUAUUGGGUUUAAAGGGUGCGUAGGCGGCCGAUUAAGUUAGAGGUGAAAUCCCGUGGCUCAACCACGGAACUGCCUCUGAUACUGGUUGGCUAGAAAAUGGUUGCUGUGGGCGGAAUGUGUAGUGUAGCGGUGAAAUGCUUAGAGAUUACACAGAACACCGAUUGCGAAGGCAGCUCACGAAACCAAUUUUGACGCUGAGGCACGAAAGGGUGGGGAGCAAACAGGAUUAGAUGCCCUGGUAGUCCACGCCGUAAACGAUGAUAACUCGCUGCUGGCGAUACAAUGUCAGUGGCUUAGCGAAAGCGUUAAGUUAUCCACCUGGGGAGUACGUUCGCAAGAAUGAAACUCAAAGGAAUUGACGGGG
rnacentral:rRNA from 1 species